rnacentral:rRNA from 2 species
UAGUGGCGAACGGGUGAGUAACACGUGGGCAAUCUGCCCUGCACUCUGGGACAAGCCCUGGAAACGGGGUCUAAUACCGGAUACUGACCCGCUUGGGCAUCCAAGCGGUUCGAAAGCUCCGGCGGUGCAGGAUGAGCCCGCGGCCUAUCAGCUUGUUGGUGAGGUAAUGGCUCACCAAGGCGACGACGGGUAGCCGGCCUGAGAGGGCGACCGGCCACACUGGGACUGAGACACGGCCCAGACUCCUACGGGAGGCAGCAGUGGGGAAUAUUGCACAAUGGGCGAAAGCCUGAUGCAGCGACGCCGCGUGAGGGAUGACGGCCUUCGGGUUGUAAACCUCUUUCAGCAGGGAAGAAGCGAAAGUGACGGUACCUGCAGAAGAAGCGCCGGCUAACUACGUGCCAGCAGCCGCGGUAAUACGUAGGGCGCGAGCGUUGUCCGGAAUUAUUGGGCGUAAAGAGCUCGUAGGCGGCUUGUCACGUCGGUUGUGAAAGCCCGGGGCUUAACCCCGGGUCUGCAGUCGAUACGGGCAGGCUAGAGUUCGGUAGGGGAGAUCGGAAUUCCU